rnacentral:lncRNA from 1 species
UUUGCUUAUGGUUCUACAUAGCAUGCACAUCCCAGACUGCAAUUCUUUUGGCUAUUCCUGAAUAAACUCAUUUUUGAAGUACAUUAAAGGUAUUACUUCACUGUCUUCUGAAUUUAUUUACUUCUGGCGAGAAAUCUGCCAUCAUCCUCAUCUUCGUUCCUCUGUAGAAACAACAGAGAAAGGAGCCUUGACGCCGUGUCCCUCUGAUCACCUCCCAGUACAGGAGUCCACCAGUCCAUGAAAUUCCAGAAACAACAUCUGACCUCAGAGUGACUACCGAUGUCACCACUGGAGUAACUGGGUCGAGGACAGACUUUCACCCCAAGUUAUCUCAGCUUGCUGUGUGGACUGCUGGAAUACCGCCCCAGAGCAAUAACUGUGGGGGGCAGCAUCAGCCCUCGUGUCAGAGUGCAGCCUGUGAAUCUCGACAUCACUUAAAGGCAAGUGUUCUUCCCUCCUCGGAUACUUC